AUUGAACGCUGGCGGCAUGCUUUACACAUGCAAGUCGAACGGUAACAGGCCUUCGGGUGCUGACGAGUGGCGAACGGGUGAGUAAUGCAUCGGAACGUGCCCAAUCGUGGGGGGAUAACGUAGCGAAAGUUACGCUAAUACCGCAUAAGCCCUGAGGGGGGAAAGUGGGGGACCCGCAAGGCCUCACGCGAAUGGAGCGGCCGAUGUCAGAUUAGCUAGUUGGUGGGGUAAAGGCCCACCAAGGCGACGAUCCGUAGCGGGUCUGAGAGGACGACCCGCCACACUGGAACUGAGACACGGUCCAGACUCCUACGGGAGGCAGCAGUGGGGAAUUUUGGACAAUGGGGGCAACCCUGAUCCAGCCAUUCCGCGUGAGUGAAGAAGGCCUCGGUUGUAAGCACUUUGUUGGGUAGAA
rnacentral:rRNA from 1 species